UGCCGACCGGGUGCCUGCACUAAGUUCGGCAUAAAUAUGGCGACCUCCUGGGAGCGGGGGGGCCACCAAGUUGCCUAAGGAUGGCUGAACUGGCCCAGGUCAGAAACGGAGCAGGUCAGAACUCCUGCACCGACCAGUAGUGGGACUGGGCCUGGGUG
rnacentral:sRNA from 1 species